rnacentral:rRNA from 1 species
GACGAACGCUAGCGGGAUGCCUUACACAUGCAAGUCGAACGGAGUGGCGAACGGGUGCGUAAUGUAUCGGAACGUGCCCAGUAGCGGGGGAUAACUACGCGCAAGCGUAGCUAAUACCGCAUACUAUUGGAGCGGCCGAUAUCGGAUGAGCUAGUGGGUGGGGUAACGGCUCACCAAGGUGACGAGCCGUAGCUGGUUUGAGAGGACGACCAGCCACACUGGGACUGAGACACGGCCCGUACUCCUACGGAAGGCAGCAGUGGGGAAUUUUGGCCAAUGAGGGAAGCCCGGAGCCAGCCAUCCCGCGUGGGCGAUGAGGGCCUUCGGGUGUUAAAGCACGUUUGGCAGGACAGCGGUACCGGCAGAAUAAGCACCGGCUAACUACGUGCCAGCAGCCGCGGUAAUUC